ACCGGUUGAUCCUGCCGGAGGUCACCGCUAUUGGAAUUCGUUUAAGCCAUGCGAGUCGAGAGGGUUCGGCCCUCGGCAGACUGCUCAGUAACACGUGGAUAAUCUGACCUAAGGAGGGGGAUAAUCUCGAGAAAUUGAGGCUAAUACCCCAUAGACCUAAUCUGCUGGAAUGCUUUUAGGUUGAAAACUCCGGUGCCUUAGGAUGAGUCCGCGGCUUAUCAGGUCGUAGUGAGUGUAACGUACUCACUAGCCGAUGACGAGUACGGGCCUUGGGAGAGGUUGCCCGGAGAUGGACUCUGAGACACGAGUCCAGGCCCCACGGGGCGCAGCAGGCGCGAAAACUUCACAAUGCGAGCAAUCGCGAUGAGGAAAUUCCAAGUGCCAGUACUUUUGUGCUGGCUUUUCUUAUGCUUAAAAGGCAUUUGGAAUAAGGGCUGGGUAAGACUGGUGCCAGCCGCCGCGGUAAUACCAGCAGCCCGAGUGGUGAUCGUUAUUAUUGGGCCUAAAGCGUCCGUAGCCGGUUUGGUAAAUUUCUGCGUAAAUCGUUCAGCUUAACUGGACGAAUUGCGGAAAGACUGUCAAACUUGGGACUGGGAGAGGUCGGAGGUACUCCAGGGGUAGGGGUGAAAUCCUGUAAUCCUUGGAGGACCACCAGUGGCGAAGGCGUCCGACUAGAACGGCUCCGACGGUAAGGGACGAAGCCCUGGGGCGCAAACCGGAUUAGAUACCCGGGUAGUCCAGGGUGUAAACGCUGCGGGUUUGGUGUUGGGGGUCCUGCGAGGGCGCUCAGUGCCGGAGAGAAGUUGUUAAACCCGCCGCCUGGGAAGUACGACCGCAAGGUUGAAACUUAAAGGAAUUGGCGGGGGAGCACCGCAACGGGAGGAGCGUGCGGUUUAAUUGGAUUCAACGCCGGAAAACUCACCGGGGGCGACUGUUACAUGAAGGCCAAGCUGACGACUUUGCCAGAUUUUCAGAGAGGUGGUGCAUGGCCGCCGUCAGUUCGUACCGCAAGGCGUUCUGUUAAGUCAGAUAACGAACGAGACCCCUUCCUCUAAUUGCUAAUCAUCUCUCAGGAGGUGAUGCACAUUAGAGGGACCGCUGGCGCUAAGUCAGAGGAAGGUAGGGGCAACGGUAGGUCAGUAUGCCCCGAAUCCCCCGGGCCACACGCGCGCUACAAAGGAUGGGACAAUGGGCUCCGACCUCGAAAGUGGAAGGCAAUCCCCAAACCCAUUCGUAGUCCGGAUUGAGGGCUGUAACCCGCCCUCAUGAAGCUGGAUUCCGUAGUAAUCGCGGGUCAACAUCCCGCGGUGAAUAUGCCCCUGCUCCUUGCACACACCGCCCGUCAAACCAUCUGAGUUGGGUUUGAGUGAGGCUACUUCUGAUUGUGGUAGUCGAACUUAGGUUCAGCAAGGAGGGUUAAGUCGUAACAAGGUA
rnacentral:rRNA from 1 species